rnacentral:rRNA from 1 species
CCUACGGGAGGCAGCAGUGGGGAAUAUUGCACAAUGGGGGAAACCCUGAUGCAGCGACGCCGCGUGAAGGAUGAAGUAUUUCGGUAUGUAAACUUCUAUCAGCAGGGAAGAAAAUGACGGUACCUGACUAAGAAGCCCCGGCUAACUACGUGCCAGCAGCCGCGGGAAUACGUAGGGGGCACGCGUUAUCCGGAUUUACUGGGUGUAAAGGGAGCGUAGACGGCAUGGCAAGUCUGAUGUGAAAACCCGGGGCUCAACCCCGGGACUGCAUUGGAAACUGUCAGGCUAGAGUGUCGGAGAGGCAAGUGGAAUGCGUGGUGUAGCGGUGAAAUGCGUAGAUAUUAGGAGGAACACCAGUGGCGAAGGCAGCUUGCUGGACGAUGACUGACGUUGAGGCUCGAAAGCGUGGGGAGCGAACAGGAUUAGAUACCCUAGUAGUC